rnacentral:lncRNA from 10 species
GAAGGUGGUGGGUAGACUUCACCACAGUGGGAAAAGGGUGGCGACAAAUGGAUUCUGCAUAAUCUUCUUAAUGUGACAACUUUCCAUUUCAAACAGGCAGGCACUGAGACAUCAAAGCAGCCAAGUGCCGCCCUGACGUUGAGCCCACCGAGUGCUGAGUGCCGCGUGCCGCGAGGCUGCUGCUGUUGGCUCUGCGUGAUCAGGAGAGCGGAGAUCAAAGGUGCCCAGUAUGUGCUGAAAUACCUGAAGUUGGAAAACACCACAAGAAAGCCAUGUGGAACCCCUCAUGCUGGAAGCUGAUCCUCCUGAGAUGUCCUUUGAUCCUCACUGGCCUCAUCAGGGCCUGACCUGUGUCCCACGUCCGUGCUGCUCUCUGGCAUCAGGCAGUUUCCCAAUAGUAGGGGAAAGAAUGGAGGUCAGCCUGGAGAGAGGACCCUGCCAGCUGCACACCCGGGGAGGACUGCUCAGGCAGCUCCACAUGCUGCCAGCCUUGCGUGAAAGGUGAGCUUGCGAUUUCCAGUUACAGAAGGUGCCACUUCAUGUUGCGACCCCGGCUGGCCCCAGUCAUCCAGUAUCCUCCCUUGAGGCCCGUGCAGGCUCCACUCCCAUCACUGGGCACUUCCUCUUGCCUCCACCUGGGCAGCUCCUCACGUCCCUCGGUCCUUGGCUGGAAUAUCAUUCCCGGGACUGUAGGGCAGUGUUUUACUGUGGCCAUGGCGACUAUAUGAAUACACUGUGGGUGGUCGCUUGCCCGGCUCUCCCACCAGACCUGACCUCAUGGUGUGUGGGAACCCAGCCUUGCUCACCACCACGCCCCAGCCACAGGUAGAGUAGAUGCCUCUAAAUCUUUGUUGGAUGAAUGAAGGAGUGAAUGAAUGAAUGAGUUAACUGAAUCAGCAGCUUCAGGAAAGAGGAGGAGGUGAACGAGAUGACCCCAGGGGACCUGAAGAUGCCCCAACGACACCUCUCCCUGCUCCACGACCUGUUUUGGGACUACUGCAGAUAGCGUAGACAGGAUUUCUGACAGGUGCAGGUCUUCCCUCAGCUCCCAUGCAGCCCCUCGUGGAAGCCUGCCUCUUUUUAAUGGGAGGUAUGGAUGGAAAUGGCCAUUCACUGAGCCUCUGGAAGACAUCAGGGUGGAAACUGCUGUUCUGUACUAGCGGGGCUAAGCCGAGCUUCUGAGGUAAAGUCUCCAUUUACCCUAGAGGUAUCGGAGCUGGGAGCUCUGCUCAGAUUUGAUUCAUUUGGGAGCUCAUGUGAUGUUCCCCGGUAGGAGACCUCCUCACUGCUGCACUGUGGGGCCAGCCAUCAGACCGAGCGUGGGGCAUGCUAGGGGGCUCACCUUCUGUCCCGCAUCCAAAACUGUCAGCGCCUCCCAGGUUUGCUGCAGACCCUGGGCUUAACUGGAGCAUCUCCUGGGAUCUUUGUGCAUGGAGGACACGGGGAGUGAGGGAGGUAUUUCCUGCAGCCCAGGCGUCUCCUCACAGCACGAGUGCACAACCUCCCCAGCACUGCUUCCCCUGACGGGCACUGUGGGCAAAGGUGUGCAGGCC